UUUUUUUAUAUAAAAUACUCUAAAAUUUCUAUUAAUAUUAAAUUUAUUAAAUAAAUUUUAACUAAUUAAUCCGUGGUCCAACCCGGUUGACCCGAUGACCCGGUGACCCAGAAUGUAGUCCGGUUCAUCGUCCGGGUCGGGUUUCAAAACAUGUUGUUUCGAUUUUGUAGGAUUGGAUUCAA
rnacentral:sRNA from 1 species